rnacentral:misc_RNA from 1 species
UAAUAUUAAAGAGCUUUGUUAAACCUAGACUUAAGUUUGGGUCAUUUUGGGGGUUUAGCUCAGUUGGCUAGAGCAUCGGCUUUGCAAGCCGAGGGUCAAGGGUUCGAGUCCCUUAACCUCCAUUGGGCUUAUGUCCUAAAUUGUAAUUAAGUAUGUUUUUAAGCAGCUUUGUUAAAGUAAUUGUUAGAAUGUGAAACAGAGGAAGUUAAAAUUUCUGGGUUAAGUUGAGAUCUGUUGAUAUUAAGAAGAAUCUCUAGAAGCAAAAGCAAGCUUUCGAUAAAACCCGAAGUUGUUUCGCUAAAGUGCAAGGAUUAAACAGGAUUGUAUUUUCCAGCAGCCUAUUUUAUAAACGAUCUGCAUUUAGUAAAUAGUUUUUAGUUAAGAAAUAAUGUAGAUUGCUAAGUGUGAUGUCUGAAAGAAGGACAAGUAUUUUAGCGAGCCUAAAUCCUUGUUAUCGUUGCCAGUAUUUAGUGGUAGGGAUUCGGACAAGACUGCCAUUUAUAAGUUGGAGGAAGGCAAAGAUUGCAUUAAAUCGUUAUCGCUCUUAUGUUUUAGGUUACAAGUUUGCCACAAUAACCCA